AGGGAAGGGUGACAGUAGAAAUUUACUCGGCCGAGUCAUUGAGGUAAGAUAUUUAAUCAAAAGUUUGACUGCAUCAUUUAAUAUGUCAUGUUUAUUAAAUACUAAACAGAAAGAACACCAGUAAAAGUAAAUAUGUAAAUCCAGGAUCUGCACCUGAUGAAAAUCAGAUGCGGAUUAAUGCCACAAAGGCAGUUGAAAAUCACCAUAUGCAACACGAAUUCAUUUCGUAAUUCACUGGAAAAAAAUGCAAAUACCUAAUUAAUUCUACUCUCAGAAAUAAUUCUUUAUCGAUAUUUUAAUGAAAAUAAUCAAACUGCCUGCAUAAGAAUUUUAUCUGUUUAUUUUUUCAGGUCAAUGAUAAUGGAAAUGCUGUUGUGGCUACAAGAUUUGGACAACUUCUAGGAAACAUUUGGAACAAAUGAGAUGGGAAUAUGUAAACAAAAUUUAAUUCUAGAAGAGGAAAUUAAUUGUGAAACAACUUUAAGUGUACGUGAGGCAGCAACCCAUCAGUCAUUAUCCGGAGGUCAAGUAUUUUUUAAAUGUUCUUGUAAUUCGAAAUGUUUAAGUAACCGGUGCAAAUGCAAGAAAAACGGGAGAAAGUGCAAUAGUCGGUGCCACAGUUCGACAACUUGUAAUAACAAAUGAUUUUAACAC
rnacentral:lncRNA from 1 species